GAUACAUUUGACCUGUGAGAACUAACAUCUAAGUUUUUUUCCUUGCAGAUUUGAGAGAUUAACUAGAAAAGAGAUGCAAUUAUGGCUUCAAGGCAGGGUAGUGCAUACCGGAAUCGAACCAUGAUGCCACAACAUGGUGAUACAGAAGACAGAGAUGCUUCAGAAUUCUCUUGGCUGAACGUAACAAGAGGCUCAGUUCUGUUAUCAAGGACUGAAAGUAUAACCUCUUACAAAAACAGGCGGCCUGGACAACACAGAUCUGGUAAAAAA